rnacentral:rRNA from 1 species
GAUGAACGCUGGCGGCGUGCCUAAUACAUGCAAGUCGAGCGAACAGAUGAGAAGCUUGCUUCUCUGAUGUUAGCGGCGGACGGGUGAGUAACACGUGGGUAACCUACCUAUAAGACUGGGAUAACUCCGGGAAACCGGGGCUAAUACCGGAUAAUAUUUUGAACCGCAUGGUUCAAUAGUGAAAGACGGUUUCGGCUGUCACUUAUAGAUGGACCCGCGCCGUAUUAGCUAGUUGGUAAGGUAACGGCUUACCAAGGCGACGAUACGUAGCCGAACUGAGAGGGUGAUCGGCCACACUGGAACUGAGACACGGUCAAGACUCCUACGGGAGUCAGCAGUAGGGAAUCUUCCGCAAUGGGCGAAAGCCUGACGGAGCAACGCCGCGUGAGUGAUGAAGGUCUUCGGAUCGUAAAACUCUGUUGUUAGGGAAGAACAAAUUUGUUAGUAACUGAACAAGUCUUGACGGUACCUAACCAGAAAGCCACGGCUAACUACGUGCCAGCCGCCGCCGUAA